AUUGAACGCUGGCGGCAGGCUUAACACAUGCAAGUCGAGCGGAGAUGAGGUGCUUGCACCUUAUCUUAGCGGCGGACGGGUGAGUAAUGCUUAGGAAUCUGCCUAUUAGUGGGGGACAACAUUCCGAAAGGAAUGCUAAUACCGCAUACGCCCUACGGGGGAAAGCAGGGGAUCUUCGGACCUUGCGCUAAUAGAUGAGCCUAAGUCGGAUUAGCUAGUUGGUGGGGUAAAGGCCUACCAAGGCGACGAUCUGUAGCGGGUCUGAGAGGAUGAUCCGCCACACUGGGACGGAGACACGGCCCAGACUCCUACGGGAGGUGGCAGUGGGGAAUAUUGGACAAUGGGCGGAAGCCUGAUCCAGCCAUGCCGCGUGUGUGAAGAAGGCCUUUUGGUUGUAAAGCACUUUAAGCGAGGAGGAGGCUACCUGGAUUAAUACUCUAGGAUAGUGGACGUUACUCGCAGAAUAAGCACCGGCUAACUCUGUGCCAGCCGCCGCCGUAAAAC
rnacentral:rRNA from 1 species